rnacentral:rRNA from 1 species
GACGUAGGGCGCGAGCGUUGUCCGGAUUUAUUGGGCGUAAAGAGCUUGUAGGCGGUUUGUCGCGUCUGCUGUGAAAAUCCGGGGCUCAACCCCGGACUUGCAGUGGGUACGGGCAGACUAGAGUGUGGUAGGGGGAGACUGGAAUUCCUGGUGUAGCGGUGAAAUGCGCAGAUAUCAGGAGGAACACCGAUGGCGAAGGCAGGUCUCUGGGCCACUACUGACGCUGAGAAGCGAAAGCGUGGGGGAGCGAACAGG